CGGUUCAGCGCCCGAGCGUGCGCGCGCGUCUCCGCUCGUCGCCCGGCUCGGCGUCGGGAGUGCACUCUGUGUGGCCGCUGCUGCAGUGUUGUUGUGGUUGUGAGAAGGCGGCGGCGGCGGCGGAGUAGCAGCCGGACCAGACGCCCUAGUAGCUCAGUCGCUGCCCUGCGCCGGGCCUGGCAGGGAGCCUGGUGAGAUGGUGGAGGAGGAGGCUGUGCCGUGGCGGGCCUUGCCAUGUCCUGCUGCCUGAUGGAGUCUUGCUCUGCUGCCUAGGCUGGUGUGCAACGGCACAAUCUCGGCUCACUGUGACCUCAGCUUCCCAGAUUCAAGCGAUUCUCCCCCCUCAGCCUCCCAAUCCCCCACCCCCACCCCUGCGAGUAGCUGGGAUUACAGGCACCCGCCAUCAUGCCUGGCUAAUUUUUGUAUUUUUGUAGAGACGAGGUUUCACCAUGUUGGCCAGGCUGGUCUUGAACUGACCUCAGGUGAUCCACCCACCUUGGCCUCCCAAGUGGUGAAAUAACAGGUGUGAGCCACCGCUCCCCAACUCAACCCAAAUUUUUUAAAUGGGCAGAGUAUUUGAACAGGUUCCUCAACAAAGAAGAUACAUGUGGCAAAUAAGCGCACAAAUGAAUGCUCCACACCACUAGUAAUUAAGGGAAUUCAAUUACUACUUACUGGAGGCUAAGAGACCAGUUAGGGGGUUACGGGAGAAAUUGUGAAUUAAAAUUAUGUAUGAUAGUAGCGGUGGGGAUGGAGAGGAGAGGAUAUGAGGAAUAUUGAGGAGAUAAAAUUGCAAAAGCUUCACACUUGGUUGGAAGUGGAAGCUGACGUGUAAGAGAAUCAGCAAUGAUUCUCAGGUUUCCAACUUGAGCAAAGGGGCGGAGGCCACUGAUAGACUCUGAGGUCAUAAAACACAAGGUGGAGCAGAUCUAGGCGGGUAUGGAGGAAGAGAUGUGACCAUUGAAGUAUUUUCUUUGUUGUUGUGUUGUUGGAAUAUUUCAAGUCAAAUCCCUGACAUCAUGUUGUUCCAUCUCUACACACUUCAACAUGUAUCACUAAAAGUAGGGACACUUUCUCCCAUAAUCACAUUGCUGUGAUCGCUCCUGAAGAUGUGCUCAAUGAUUCUGAUUAUCAUCCCAUACAUAGUCCACAGUCAUACAUACUUGAUUAUCACAAGUAUUUCUCUUUUUGCAGUCUGUCUAUUGGAAUCAGAAUCCUGACAAGGUCCACCCUGCACACCACUUUCUCACAAAGGUCCUCUCAUCCUGAGCAGUCCUCCCUGCCACUGAUUUGUUGUCCUUCAUAAUGUCCCACAAUCUGCACCUGUCUUUGUUCUCCCUCAUGAUACUGCUUCACUUCUAUGCCCUGAAUUUCCUAUAAUGGGGAAGGAGCUCUGAAGCCUGGUUGUAGGAACACUUCAUGAACAGUACUGUGCAUGGCACACAAUCUCUAGCCAUCCCACUUGUCACGCUAAAAUCGAUGACUCGCUUCUGGUAGUGUCAGCCUGACUCUUUGGACAUGCUGAGUAAGCAGAGCGAGAAAGGAAGAGGGCUUCGACCAGAGGAAGAGGAGCAGAGAAAACAGGGAAGGAGAAUUCAGGGAAGUGGGGAAAAUCGAGGGAGCAGCAGCGUGGGGGCUGAAGAAAGAAGGGUCAGGUGUCGCUGGGCAGCCAAGAAGAGACAAACAGGUCAGAUGGUUUUCACAACUGAUGGCUGAUAACUUGUAUGAGAGCAGCUUUAAUGGAGUGAUUAAGGUGUAAGUCAGAUUGCCCUGGAUGGAGGUGUGAAUAGGGGUGGGAAGUGGAGGGCAAGGAAUAUCAAUAACAAUUUCAGGAAUUUGGCUGUAAGACAAGGGAAAAAGAUGGGAGACGUGAGCAUAGGAAGAGGGAUGUUGAAAAAAGAGGUUGUGUUUAUUCUGUGGCUCUUUUGAUGGGAGACACAUUCAUGCUGGGAGGUUGAAUAUUUAGGAACCAUAAGGAACUAUUACUAACAAAGAAAGUUCCAAAAACAUUCCUGGUUGGAAGGUUUCACUGUUUUGUUCACUAAUUUCAUAUAUUUUUCUAACUCUCUACAAUUGCUUUUUGUUGUGAGCUCAACUGGUCUAGGAGACACAGAUUUUGAAACGUGAUGAAAUUAUUCAAUAAAGCUGGUGUUAGAUGCAGGUGUUAGAAUGCAUUUUUGUCAGACUUGGACCAUAUGAAUUGAAGUUACUCUAUCAUCUGACUGAUGGGCAUCACUUGUUUUUGUCUAUUUAUUUGAACUGUAUAUAUUCCAAAAAUUUUUUGAUGUAGCUGCUAUAUGAUAAGAAUAUUGCAAUGGGAUUCUCCUGGGUUUCUAAUCCAAAGUUUGUUUUUUUUAGAAAAAUAAAUUUGGACUUAGCAGAUUAAUCAUGAAUACUAUAUAACGCCAUUUGUUAGACAGUUUUGAAAUGAUAAAAUUUUAGAAAUGGAGGUUACUGAUUGCCAGGGGUUAGGAAAGCGGAAGGAGGUGGGAGGGAGGGGGAGUGAUUAUAAAAGGGCUCUUGAGGGACCCACUGUGGUGCUGGAGCCAUUCAGUAUAUUGACUAGUGGUGGAUACAUGAACUCACGCAGGUGGUAGAAUUAUACAGACAUUAAUACACACACAGUGAAAGUAAAACUAGGAAAAUCUGCCUAAGGUAAGUAGAUGGAGUUACUGUCAAUGUCCUUGUUUUGCAAAACAUCACCAUUGUGAAAUCCUAUUGAGAAUCUGAAACACAGCCUUGGUUAUAUGCUUUUUUCUUUUUUUACCCUGUAAAAAUGUUCCUUUUACCCUGUAAAGUGUUCCUUUUUAUACUGGUAAGUAUAAAAGGAACAAAUUAUACUGGUAAGUAAAAAUUACUGAUAAAGUAAUUACUGAUAAACAAAGUAACUUUAAACUGAAUAUGGGAAAUAACUGCUGUGCUGUAUGGUAUAAAUAAAUAAUAUAUUUAUCUAUAACAAUACUACUUUAUAUAAUGGAACUAGAUGUCACAAAUGGCUCUAGUACUAGUAAUGCAAUUAAUCAAUAUAAUGUUUUGUAGGGUUUUGUUUUUUAUACUCUUUGUUAAGCCUCCAAACUAGCAAGUACCCAUUACAGUAAAUGUACAAUGGAUUAUUUCUGUUUCCGCGUUUCAGUCAUUAACUCCUUAGUUGCAUAAUCUUAAAGUCAAAUUACCUUGUUGAAGGGGACAGUCUGGAUCCAUUCCAUGGAGCUCACAUCAAAAACGUCUGCUGCAUUUUCACUGUGCACUGAGAGGCACGGGGCAUUGUAACCUGGGAGGAGCAAAGACGGUAACAGCAAACAUGGGCUCCGUGAUACCUUUUUCAGUGAAUUUUUGAUGAGAUAAUUAUAGAUUCACAUGUAGUUGUAAAAAUAAUACAGAGAGAUCCCUUGUACACUCUGCCCAGAUUCAAUUCACAACAAAAUAAAACUUCAGUGUCUGGAUUACAAAUAAUUUAAAACAUAGCUAAAAAUGUAAAAGUAAAAACCUGCCGUUUUGCUAAGACCAGACCAUCAAAUAUUUAAGAGCAUUUAACUUCCAGGACUUGUGGAGUAUGCAUGACAUGAGCCACCAAAAAGAAGUUUUUAAAGGAAGAGUUAAAAUAAGUGAAAUUUUUUUCUACCUUCAUCAGUAUAAGCAGUGGAAAACACUUUUGAAAGGGCUGUCCCACCACAUAAAACGUUACAUUUGUGCUUUUCCAGCAUUCUUUUUUUUGUUUGGUUGUAUGUUUUUAUUUUUUAUUAUACUUUAAGUUUUAGGGUACAUGUGCACAACGUGCAGGUUUGUUACAUGUGUAUACAUGUGCCAUGUUGGUGUGCUCCACCCAUUAACUCAUCAUUUAACAUUAGGCAUAUCUCCUAAUGCUAUCCCUCCCCCCUCCCCCCACCCCACAACAGGCCCCAGUGUGUGAUGUUCCCCUUCCUGUGUCCAUGUGUUCUCAUUGUUCAGUUCCCACCUAUGAGUGAGAACAUGCGGUGUUUGUUUUUUUUGUCCUUUCGAUAGUUUGCUGAGAAUGAUGGUUUCCAGCUUCAUCCAUGUCCCUGCAAGGGACAUGAACUCAUCAUUUUUUAUGGCUGCAUAGUAUUCCAUGGUGUAUAUGUGCCACAUUUUCUUAAUCCAGUUUAUCAUUGUUGGACAUUUGGGUUAGUUCCAAGUCUUUGCUACUGUGAAUAGUGCCGCAAUAAACAUAUGUGUGCAUGUGUCUUUAUAGCAGCAUGAUUUAUAGUCCUUUGUGUACAUACCCAGCAAUGGGAUGACUGGGUCAAAUGGUAUUUCUAGUUCUAGAUCCCUGAGGAAUCGCCACACUGACUUCCACAAUGGUUGAACUAGUUUACAGUCCCACCAACAGUGUAAAAGUGUUCCUAUUUCUCCACAUCCUCUCUAGCACUUGUUGUUUCCUGACUUUUUAAUGAUCACCAUUCUAACUGGUGUGAGAUGGUAUCUCAUUGCGGUUUUGAUUUGCAUUUCUCUGAUGGCCAGUGAUGAUGAGCAUUUUUUCAUGUGUCUUUUGGCUGCAUAAAUGUCUUCUUUUGAGAAGUGUCUGUUCAUGUCCUUCACCCACUUUUUGAUGGGGUUGUUUUUUUCUUGUAAAUUUGUUUGAGUUCAUUAUAGAUUCUGGGUAUUAGCCCUUUGUCAGAUGAGUAGAUUGCAAAAAUUUUUCUCAUUCUGUAUGUUGCCUGUUCACUCUGAUGCUAGUUUCUUUUGCUGUGCAGAAGCUCUUUAGUUUAAUUAGAUCCCAUUUGUCAAUUUUGGCUUUUGUUGCCAUUGCUUUUGGUGUUUUAGACAUGCAGCCCUUGCCCAUGCCUAUGUCCUGAAUGGUAUUGCCUAGGUUUUCUUCUAGGGUUUUUAUGGUUUUAGGUCUAACAUGUAAGUCUUUAAUCCAUCUUGAAUUAAUUUUUGUAUAAGGUGUAAGGAAGGGGUCCAGUUUCAGCUUUCUACAUAUGGCUAGCCAGUUUUCCCAGCACCAUUUAUUAAAUCGGGAAUCCUUUCCUCAUUUCUUGUUUUUGUCAGGUUUGUCAAAGAUCAGAUGGUUGUAGAUGUGUGGUAUUAUUUCUGAGGGCUCUGUUCUGUUCCAUUGGUCUAUAUCUCUGUUUUGGUACCAGGCGCCUCCGCAACCUCCCAGGAGCUCUGACCAAGGCGCCUCACUGGGGUGGGGACCUUGCCUCACCUGGGGCCAUUUCAUAAUUCUGAAUCAUGUGUGAUAACGGAGAACUGGAAGACAAGCCUCCAGCACCUCCCGUGCGAAUGAGCAGGACCAUCUUUAGCACUGGAGGCAAAGACCCUUUGUCAGCCAAUCACAGUUUGAAACCUUUGCCUUCUGUUCCAGAGGAGAAAAAGCCCAGGCAUAAAAUCAUCUCCAUAUUCUCAGGCACAGAGAAAGGAAGUAAAAAGAAAGAAAAGGAACGGCCAGAAAUUUCUCCUCCAUCUGAUUUUGAACACACCAUCCAUGUUGGCUUUGAUGCUGUUACUGGAGAAUUCACUGGCAUGCCAGAACACUGGGCUCGAUUACUACAGACCUCAAAUAUCACCAAACUAGAGCAAAAGAAGAAUCCUCAGGCUGUGCUGGAUGUCUUAAAGUUCUACGACUCCAACACAGUGAAGCAGAAGUAUCUGAGUUUUACUCCUCCUGAGAAAGAUGGCUUCCCUUCUGGAACACCAGCACUGAAUGCCGAGGGAACAGAAGCACCUGCAGUAGUGACAGAGGAGGAGGACGAUGAUGAAGAGACUGCCCCUCCCGUUAUUGCCCCACCACCGGAUCAUAUGAAAUCAAUUUACACACGGUCUGUAAUUGACCCUGUUCCUGCACCAGUUGGUGAUUCAAAUGUUGAUGGUGGUGCCAAGUCUUUAGACAAACAGAAAAAGAAGACUAAGAUGACAGAUGAAGAGAUUAUGGAGAAACUAAGAACUAUUGUGAGCAUAGGUGACCCUAAGAAAAAAAUAUACAAGAUAUGAAAAAAUUGGACAAGGGGCUUCUGGUACAGUUUUCACUGCUACCGACGUUGCACUGGGACAGAAGGUUGCUAUCAAACAAAUUAAUUUACAGAAACAGCCAAAGAAGGAAUUGAUCAUUAAUGAGAUUCUGGUAAUGAAAGAAUUAAAAAAUCCCAACAUAGUUAACUUCUUGGACAGUUACCUGGUAGGAGAUGAAUUGUUUGUGGUCGUGGAAUACCUUGCUAGGGGGUCACUCACUGAUGUGGUAACAGAAACCUGCAUGGAUGAAGCACAGAUUGCUGCUGUAUGCAGAGAGAGUUUACAGGCAUUGGAGUUUUUACAUGCUAAUCAAGUGAUCCACAGAGACAUCAAAAGUGACAGUGUACUUUUGGGAAUGGAAGGAUCAGUUAAGCUCACUGACUUUGGUUUCUGUGCCCAGAUCACCCCUGAGCAGAGCAAACGCAGUACCGUGGUCAGAACGCCACACUGGAUGGCACCAGAAGUGGUUACACGGAAGGCUUAUGGCCCUAAAGUCAAUGUAUGGUCUCUGGGUAUCAUGGCUACUGAGAUGGUAGAAGGAGAGCCUCCAUACCUCAAUGAAAAUCCCUUGAGGGCCUUGUGCCUAAUAGCAACUAAUGGAAUCCCAGAACUUCAGAAUCCAGAGACACUUUCCCCAAUAUUUCGGGAUUUCUUAAAUCGAUGUUUGGAAACAGAUGUGGAAAAAAGGGGUUCAGCCAAAGAAUUAUUACAGCAUCUUUUCCUGAAACUAGCCAAACUGUUAUCUAGCUUGACACCACUGAUCAUGGCAGCUAAAGAAGCAAUGAAGAGUAACCGUUAACAUCACUGCUGUGGCCUCAUAUUCUUUUUUCCAUUUUCUACAAGAAGCCUUUUAGUAUAUGAAAAUUAUUACUCUUUUGGGGGUUUAAAGAAAUGGUCUGCAUAACCUGAAUGAAAGAAGCAAAUGACUAUUCUCUGAAGACAACCAAGAGAAAAUUGCAAAAAGAAAAGUAUGACUUUUAUAUGAACCCCUUCUUUAGGGUCCAAAAGGAAUUGUGGACUGAAUCACUAGCCUUAGGUCUUUCAGCAAACCGCCUAUCAGGGCCAUUUAUCAUAUGUGAGAUUUGCAUUUUACUUUGCUGACUUUGUUGUAAUAGAUCCCAUUCAUUGUCCCCUUUGGGGUAUUUCCAAUACUUGAAUGGCAGAUUGGAGUUUUUCAGAGUAUUUGUUUCAUCUGCUAGUCUUUCUCUCCUUCAUAGCUUUCCUUUUCCUGGACUUGCUCCUUUUGAGUUGCUUUUGAGUUUCUCAUGCCUAGGUAGUGUAAUAGAAAUUAUGUAGCUCCUUAUGUUGGCAAAGGAGCUCUAUAUAGUUUCACUUUUUAUAAAAGUUAGGACCAGCUGUUGUUACAUGUAAUAUUUUAGUUCAGAACUUGACCUGAAGGAAGGGAAGAAAAGUAUUUGAUUUUUACCUUUUUUAACAAAUGUGAAAAAGUCAGUUUUAGAAAUUUUGUGGUAGUAAGUUUGGCAUUUGUUACAUGUAUAGAGAGAAGACUAAUAAUCUCUAUUUAUAACUAAAUCAUUGAGAUAGAAAAAGAUUCCCAUUGACCGUAUAUUUCUUCCCAUUUCGUCUUCCCUUCUGCCUGUUUCCCCUUCAGGCUUGGCUCUAGGAACCAAAGUGAUUUGUUCUUGUUCCAACCUGGGCUUUGUGACUUUGGUUAGUGCCACUACCUUCUUCCCUCCUUUCCCCCUUCAAUUUGGAAAUAAAUUUCUGUAUAUGUUGCAA